rnacentral:rRNA from 1 species
UACGUAGGGGGCAAGCGUUGUCCGGAAUCAUUGGGCGUAAAGAGCGUGUAGGCGGCUCGGUAAGUCCGCUGUGAAAGUCCAGGGCUCAACCCUGGAAUGCCGGUGGAAACUGUCGAGCUAGAGUCCGGAAGAGGCGAGUGGAAUUCCUGGUGUAGCGGUGAAAUGCGCAGAUAUCAGGAGGAACACCAAUGGCGAAGGCAGCUCGCUGGGACGGUACUGACGCUGAGACGCGAAAGCGUGGGGAUCAAACAGG